rnacentral:tRNA from 2 species
GCCGGAGUGGCGGAAUGGCAGACGCGCUGGAUUCAAAAUCCAGUUCCCGCAAGGGAGUGAGGGUUCGAGUCCCUCCUUCGGUAC